rnacentral:rRNA from 1 species
AGCUCCAAUAGCGUAUAUUAAAGUUGUUGCGGUUAAAAAGCUCGUAGUUGGAUUUCUGUUGAGGAUGGACGGUCCGCACUAAGUGCGUGUAUCUGUUACAGCCUCGGCAUCCUCUUGGAGAACGGCGCUGUGAUUCAUUUCAUGGUCCGGAAUUCAAGACUUUUACUUUGAGGAAAUUAGAGUGUUCACGGCAAGCAAUCGCUUUGAAUACAUUAGCAUGGAAUAAUAAUAUAGGACCUUGGUACUAUUUUGUUGGUUUCUAGAACUAAGGUAAUGAUUAAUAGGGAUAAUUGGGGGCAUUCGUAUUAACGCGUCAGAGGUGGAAUUCUUGGAUUGCGUUACGACGAACUACUGCGAAAGCAUUCGCCAAGGAUGUUU